rnacentral:rRNA from 1 species
UACGGAGGGUGCGAGCGUUAAUCGGAAUUACUGGGCGUAAAGCGUGCGCAGGCGGCUUUGCAAGACAGAUGUGAAAUCCCCGGGCUUAACCUGGGAACUGCAUUUGUGACUGCAUGGCUGGAGUGCGGCAGAGGGGGAUGGAAUUCCGCGUGUAGCAGUGAAAUGCGUAGAUAUGCGGAGGAACACCGAUGGCGAAGGCGGGUCUCUGGGCAACAACUGACGCUGAGGCACGAAGGCCAGGGGAGCAAACGGG